rnacentral:pre_miRNA from 1 species
AACUUACUCCCUCCGUUCCAAAUUACUUGUCGCAGAAAUGGAUGUAUCUAGAACUAAAAAAUGUCUAGAUACAUCCAUUCCUACGACAAGUAAUUCCGAACGGAGGGAGUAGAUC